rnacentral:rRNA from 1 species
CGCGUAGGCGGUGUUUUAAGUGAGAUGUGCAAUCCCCGAGCUUAACUUGGGAACUGCAUCUCAGACUGGAACGCUAGAGUGCUGGAGAGGGUGGUAGAAUUCCACGUGUAGCGGUGAAAUGCGUAGAGAUGUGGAGGAAUACCAGUGGCGAAGGCGGCCACCUGGACAGUAACUGACGCUGAGGCGCGAAAGUGUGGGUAGCAAACAGGAUUAGAUACCCUGGUAGUCCACGCUGUAAACGAUGAACACUUGGUGUGGUGGGAGUUGACCCCUGCCGUGCCGUAGCUAACGCGAUAAGUGCUCCGCCUGGGGAGUACGGUCGCAAGGCUGAA